UGGUGGAGUGAUUUGUCUGGUUAAUUCCGUUAACAAACGAGACCUUAACCUGCUAAAUAGCUACGCGUAGCUUCGGUUACGUGGGCAACUUCUUAGAGGGACUUUGCGUGUCUAACGCAAGGAAGUUUGAGGCAAUAACA
rnacentral:rRNA from 1 species